rnacentral:rRNA from 1 species
CAUUAUACCGUGAAACUGCGAAUGGCUCAUUAAAUCAGUUAUCGUUUAUUUGAUAGUACCUUACUACUUGGAUAACCGUGGUAAUUCUAGAGCUAAUACAUGCUGAAAACCCCAACUUCGGGAGGGGUGUAUUUAUUAGAUAAAAAACCAACGCCCUUCGGGGCUUCUUGGUGAUUCAUGAUAACUUAACGGAUCGCAUGGCCUUGCGCCGGCGACGGUUCAUUCAAAUUUCUGCCCUAUCAACUUUCGAUGGUAAGGUAUUGGCUUACCAUGGUUUCAACGGGUAACGGGGAAUUAGGGUUCGAUUCCGGAGAGGGAGCCUGAGAAACGGCUACCACAUCCAAGGAAGGCAGCAGGCGCGCAAAUUACCCAAUCCCGACACGGGGAGGUAGUGACAAUAAAUACUGAUACAGGGCUCUUUUGGGUCUUGUAAUUGGAAUGAGUACAAUUUAAACCUCUUAACGAGGAACAAUUGGAGGGCAAGUCUGGUGCCAGCAGCCGCGGUAAUUCCAGCUCCAAUAGCGUAUAUUAAAGUUGUUGCAGUUAAAAAGCUCGUAGUU